GGGGUUUCGUACGUAGCAGAGCAGC
rnacentral:piRNA from 7 species